rnacentral:misc_RNA from 1 species
UUGUAGAAGGAUUCAUAGUUGCAGCCCUUCACACUGCCAAUCUCCGCCAGCUUCCCCCCUACACGUGCCACACUCGGUCUGUCUGUCUGUCUCUCGUUCCGCAAACUGUUGCUUGCCCUGUCGUGUGUGUGUGUGUGUCGCUGUGUAUGCGCUGUCUACGUGGGGGCUGGUCAGGCGUGCAUGUGUGAUUUGCGGCUCACUCCAUAUCACGCCUCUCCUUUACUCAUACUCAUCUCUCGCGCACAUCCACCCAGCCUCUCUCCCUCACUCGAACUGUUCUGCAUCCCGGCGCAUCAUCACCGCUUCGAGGAGAGCGUGACUGUCUUCUUAUAGACUACCGCAACCUCUGCAGCUCCCUACCUGACACACUCCCGUUUCAUAGAGAUCCGUCUGCCAUGGGCUCCAAGGGGGAGGAGGUGGCGGUCGAUGUGCCGUCGAAGGACCCGCAGAAGGAUGCCACCAUCAAUGAGAAGAAAAAGAAGGAGAACGAACACAAGAUGAGUGAGGAGGACAUGCGCAUCAAGGAGGAGGUGGAGCUGCUUGUGACGCGCGCCGCAGACAGCGACGUCGACAUCGCCAAGAUCGCGGUGGAGCGCCUGGUGGAUCUGCUUCGAACGAGCAGCAGCGGCAGUCUGGCGGCUGUGCCACCACCACUGAAGCACGUGCGCGCCUUGUAUCCGGAGCUGGAGGCGGCGCUCAAGAGCUCUCAGAACCCAUCUGUUUCGCGCCGCCUGCACGACCUCCUCUCCUUCAUCUCCAUGACGCUGGAGCCCAACAACGGCGGCCGCACACUACUGGAGCAUAAACUGAAGGGCACAAAGAACGACCUGGCGCAGUGGGGCCACGAGUACCUCCGCUUUCUCGCCGGCGCUAUCGGUGAGGAGUGGCGCGAGCGGCCCAACAGCAAGGAAUCGACCGAGCACCUAAACGGCUUCGUGGACCAGAUCGUCUCCUACAUGCUGGCACACCAAGACGAGGCGACGGCGAUCGACUUACUGAUGGAGAUCGACGGCGUCACGCGCAUUUUGCCCCUUGUCGAGGCGUCGAACUACAAGCGCAUUGCAAACUAUAUCGCGGCAAUCAGCAAGUACCUGACUCGCCCCUCGGACAGUGAGGCGCUGCGCACGGUGUACGACAUCUACAAGAAGAUGCAAGCCUACCCAGAUGCCGCGCUCACCGCCCUCAGGCUGAACGACCGCGACCUCGUUGCGGAACUAUUCAGCGAGUGCAAAAGCAAGCCGGAGCGUCUGCAGAUGGCGCUGCUGUGUGCCAGGCAGAAAUGCUUCCUUGACCUGGAUAGCGAGGAGGACGAGCUGCUGCAAGACGCGAAUGGCAAUAUGAGUCUCUCGCAGCUCUACCGCCACACGGCGCAGGAGUUCGACUCCAUGGCGCCUAAGACUCUGGAGGAGGUGUUCAAGAUGUCCCCGGAUGAGAAGAGCGGUCCGAAAGAUCUGCAGAACAACUUGGUCUGCGCGUUUGUGAGUGGACUGGCCAACUGCGGCUACGGCACAGACAAGUUCCUCUCCGACACCCCAGCCUUCUUUUUUGAUCAGCGCGAGGACCGCAUCAUUUCCACCACGGCUGCCCUCGGCCUGCUGCACCUGUGGGACCACACGGAGGGCCUGCAGCAGAUCGACAAGUACUUCUAUUCUGAGAGCACCUACGUGAAGGCUGGCGCGUGCCUCGCUUCUGGCAUCGUCAUGUGUGGCGUGAAGAAUCCUUUUGACCCCGCGCUAGGGCUGCUCUCGGAGCAGAUCAACGCGCGAGAGACAGAGGUGGCUAUUGGUGCGAUUCUCGGCCUCGGCUACGCCUACGCCGGAACGCGCAAGGAGGACGUCAAGGAGCUGCUCAUCCCGUUACUGGCGGACUCGGAGCAGAAACUCUUGGUGCAAUGCAUGGCGGCUUACGCCCUCGCCACCGUGUUCGUGGCCUCUGCCGAUGAGGACAUCUCCGAGACGAUGAUGAACUGCCUAAUGGAGGUGCCGGAGAACAAGCUGAAGGAGCCAUAUGUGCGGUAUCUGAUCCUGGCGCUCGGCUGCAUGUUCCUGGGUCGCCAGGAGGCCGCGGACACCCUUCUCGACGCCACGCGCGCGCUGCCGGUGGCCAUUCAGCGCUACACGGAGAUCGUGGUGCGCAGCUGCGCCUUUGCAGCCACGGGCAACGUCGUCGUCAUCCAGAGCCUCUUCCACGUCAUUGCUGAGAACGACGAGGCGCCGGAGAAUGACGAGGAGAAGAACGACGACGAGUCAAGGGAGGGCAACGCGAGCGAGGAGGCAGCAGCGAAGCCGGAGGAGGAGAAGACGGCGCCACUGAAUCACAAGGCGGCGGCUGUGCUCGGUAUCGGUCUCGUGGCGGUCGGCGAGGACCUCGGGAUGGAGAUGACCAAGCGGGCCAUCAUUCACUCGCUGCUGGCGGAUACCGUUAGCAAAGGCAAGGAUCCCAUGUCAGGGCGGUGCGCAGUGCCCCUGGUCUACGCCCUCCUCUCUGCUGGCAACCCCAACAUGCCGGUUGUGGAGACGCUGAACCGACUCGCCCACGACUCGGACCUGCCGACGGCCACCAACGCCAUUACGGCGAUGGGCAUCGUCGCGGCUGGAAGCAACAACGCCCGCGUCGCCACGAAGCUGCACAGCCUCUCCUCUUAUUAUCAGAAACCCAUUUUUGCCGGGGCAACCUUUGCGGUGCGCCUGGCCGAAGGUUUCUGCGCGAUGGGUAAGGGCCACCUUACCCUCUCCUGCCUGCAGAAUGACAGCAAUGUGGUGAGCAUGACGGCACUGAUGGGUGUGCUGAGCCUGCUCCACAGCUCGCUGGAUCUGUCAAACACGCUGCUUGGUGAAUGCCACUACAUGUUCUACGCCAUUACCCCUUCCAUUAGCCCACGCAUGAUGAUGGCCGUCAAUGAGAACAUGGAGCCUGUGGACUCGGUGUUGGUGCGUGUCGGUCUGCCGGUGGACACGGUGGCCCUGCCGGGCAAUCCGAAAACCAUCACCGGCUUUCAAACUCAAAAAACGCCGGUGCUUCUCAGCGCAACAGACAAGGUGGAAUGCGCUGACGUCAAGUACGUGCCUGUUGGGACGGUGCUGGAGGGUAUUUGCGUCGUCAAGGAGCGGCCUCAGGCGGAGUAGAGCUUGUGUGCAUUGCACGGCAGCACUCAACGGACCUUCCGUAACUCUGCUCUUCUCUCUCGGUGCCCCUAGGUGGUUGUUGUCGUGGGCCUUUGUCUUAUGAGGUGCACGCAAGCGAGCACGCUUCGGCAUGCGGCGGAGAGGCUCGGGCGCGCCCCCUCUACGUCGGCGAGGGUGGAAAUGGAAAAGCAGAGGAGCAGGCGUCGGUGCGCGUGUGACACUCGCCCGUCCGUCCUUUUUCGAAAGAGGGAAAGUGUUGUUGUGUGUGUGUGUGUGGAGGGGGUGGGGGCAGUGCCGUUCCUCCCACCUGAACUUAUAGGGGUCGAUGACGCCGUCGAGCGGCCGCACUUCCCUGCUCGACGAGCGCUUUUUGUUUCUUUGUUUUGGCCGACUGGGACGGAUCCCUGCGUGUGGGCGUGAUUGCCUCCAUCAUGCCGCUGCGUGCGUGCGGUUGUGUGUCUCGCCGAUUGAUGUAUCGUCGGCGGGUGGUUUCCUCUUUUUCGAAUUUUAUUACUAUUUUCAUGUUUUCAAGGCAUCUAUGUCAGGCGGUGGUGUGUGCCGGAGGUGUGCGCUAAGACUGAGAUGAAGUGCAAUAACGCAAAGGAGCAUAGACCCCACCCCCUCCGGGCUACAUGCUUUGAUGGCCAGGAAGGUGCGUGGGUGUCGCACUGUUGGCGCACGAGAUGCAUCUGCAUGGGCAGGUGUUUCCCCUCGCUGUGGCGCGCGUUGGGCAUGACCCAGGUAUGCCUCCCUCCCUUUCGCCGUUGGUGAAGCGCAGCGAGCAGGCGCAGAUUCAAUGUCUCGAUGCGCUUGUCUUCUCGCCCUCUCCUCCUCGGGAGGUGGGCUUGGAGGUUACGGCUUUGCUUCUCGCGCAUUCGG